ACUGAAGAUAUGGCGUUAGGAGCGUCAAGGUUUUCCCCUCAGAAGUUGUCUUUCAAGAUAACUCCAUCCCUACGCCUACUUCUUAGAACCCGUGUCUAUAUACAUGUUUAAUCAGUGCCCGCCUCCCAGAGUGAUCGUAACCAACCCAGCUGUUAGCAAGACUUUCAAAUGGUAAAGCCCCGAAAUGAGCACGACAGUGAGAGUUGACAGAAUGCUACCAUCAGAGAUGAAAUCAGCAAAUGGCUCACAUCAUUUGUCCACUUGAUGCUAAGAGGAAUUUGAAAUUGGAUGGGCAUCAGAUCAGAAGGGAACAGACAAGAAACCCAGAAUCAUGGAAAAAGUGGCUCUACCUCCAAACCUGGGUUGGAAUUUACCACGCUGGAUCUUCCUAAACUUAAGCAUCCAGAGAACAAUGCCUUGUCAGAGAUAAAAGAACAACCAAAAAAGUAACCCAAGUGGGGUCCUGUCCACUCUACCUCAACUGAGGUUCUCUUCUAACAGAAGAGGUAAAACCAGCUAGAAGGUUAUCAAAAGGUAAAAUAGUGAUGAAAAGUAAUAAUCCAAUUGAGUCUGUGCCUGCUAACACUGCUACCGAUUCCCCUUUACGUACGGGAGAGUUAUAAACCAACGGGUUACACUGCCCCUAAAAAUGUUGCUUUCAUGACAAGCCUAAAGACGGUUGCUUCAUCAGCAGAUCCUAAAAAUUUCAGUGGAUCAUCCUCUGAAGUUUCAUCUUUGGAUCCUUCCUACAACAAAGAAAAACACAUCAUCCAUCCUACUAAACAGCCCCAAGCAUCACAAGGUGGUGACUGAGCAGGAUGAAGCCUCAAAAAAGAAUGAGAAACAGAACAGUCUAAGUGAAAAUAUGAAACAGCACUGGCAAAGGGGCAGCACCCCCAGGAUCAAGCAGCCUGCAAGUCAGCAGUGCUCCUAGUUGGGGCAGUCCUAGGCCUCUCCAAAAAUGCCACUUCCAUCAGUUCCAUCAGGUGAAGACUCCACGCAGCUCCUUGGCCUCCAGUGCCCCCAGAUGAAUAAAGGGAAGCACAGGCCAAGAAGGCAACCUCAUUGAAGAUGAUUUUGAAAGAACGGCAGGAG
rnacentral:lncRNA from 10 species